rnacentral:rRNA from 1 species
UACGUAGGUGGCGAGCGUUGUCCGGAAUUACUGGGUGUAAAGGGAGCGCAGGCGGGAGACUAAGUCAGCUGUGAAAGGUCCGGGCUCAACCCGGAGAGUGCAGUUGAAACUGGUUUUCUUGAGUGAAGUAGAGGUAGGCGGAAUUCCGAGUGUAGCGGUGAAAUGCGUAGAGAUUCGGAGGAACACCAGUGGCGAAGGCGGCCUACUGGGCUUUAACUGACGCUGAGGCUCGAAAGUGUGGGGAGCAAACAGG